rnacentral:lncRNA from 1 species
AAUUUAAAUAACAACUUAAUACAAACAUCAUGAAUCAAUGCCUCACAGAGAUCACUCAAGUCGCUCAAAGUGUAUAUUAGGUGAAUAACAAAUCCUUCAAAGCAAAUGCACAAGACCCGCUCACCAUAAGCUUGCUCAUAAAUCAUAUCUUCGCUACUGUGGAUAAGUAGAUACCAAAAUCAAAGGGUCUUUACCAAGGUUGUAAUGGGGCUAAGGUAAAGGUACGGAGAUUUGGACAGAAGUGUGAAA